rnacentral:rRNA from 1 species
UGGAGAGUUUGAUCCUGGCUCAGGAUGAACGCUGGCGGCGUGCUUAACACAUGCAAGUCGAACGAUGACUUCUGUGCUUGCACAGAAUGAUUAGUGGCGAACGGGUGAGUAACACGUGAGUAACCUGCCCUUGACUUCGGGAUAAGCCUGGGAAACCGGGUCUAAUACCGGAUACGACCUCCUGGCGCAUGCCAUGGGGGUGGAAAGCUUUAUUGCGGUUUUGGAUGGACUCGCGGCCUAUCAGCUUGUUGGUUGGGGUAAUGGCCCACCAAGGCGACGACGGGUAGCCGGCCUGAGAGGGUGACCGGCCACACUGGGACUGAGACACGGCCCAGACUCCUACGGGAGGCAGCAGUGGGGAAUAUUGCACAAUGGGCGAAAGCCUGAUGCAGCGACGCCGCGUGAGGGAUGACGGCCUUCGGGUUGUAAACCUCUUUCAGCAGGGAAGAAGCGAAAGUGACGGUACCUGCAGAAGAAGCGCCGGCUAACUACGUGCCAGCAGCCGCGGUA